GGGAUUUUUAUUUUCUAAAAUUUUCAAAUGAAUAUAACUUGAAAACUGUAAGUGAUAGAUACAUGCAGUCUUCAGAAAUGAUUAAAGGACAAUAAAACAAAUCACAUGAAAUAUAGGGGGAGUCCCUGGGGGGUCAUCCCCACCCCCUUCAAUUUGAGAAUAUGCUUUUAUCUUGUAAACGGUCCAGAUCCCCACCCCUAAACCAUAUAUAUUCUUGAAUGGGACAAUAAAACAAAUCAAAUAAAAUUAAAGGGAAGUCCCCGGGGGUCAUCCCCACCCCGUUCAAUUUGAGAAUGUGCUAUUAUCUUGUAAACGGUCCAGAUCCCCACCCCUAAACCAUAUAUAUUCUUGUAGGGGACAAUAAAACAAAUGAAAUGAAAUAAAAGUGAUGUCCCUAGGGGCUCACCCCACUCCCUCUUGUUUGAAAACUUGUAAACGGUCAACAUCCCCACCCCUAAACCAUAUCUAUUCUUGUAUGGGACAAUAAAACUAAUCAAAUGAAAUUAAAUGGAAGUUCCUGGGGUCACCCCCACCCCGUUCAAUUUGAGAAUGUACUAUUAUCUUGUAAACGGUUCAGAUCCCCACCCUUAAACCAUAUAUAUUCUUGAAUGGGACGAUAAAAGAAAUCAAAUGAAAUUAAUGGGAAGUCCCCGGGGGUCAUCCCCACCCCGUUCAAUUUGAGAAUGUGCUAUUAUCUUGUAAACGGUCCAGAUCCCCACCCCUAAACCAUAUAUAUUCUUGUCGGGGACAAUAAAACAAAUGAAAUGAAAUAAAAGGGAAGUCCCGAGUGAGUCACCCCACCCCCUCUUGUUUGAAAACUUUGUAAACGUUCAACAUCCCCACCCCUAAACCAUAUAUAUACUUGUAUGGGACACUAAAGCUAAUCAAAUGAAAUUAAAGGGAAGUUCCUGGGGGUUGCCCCCACCCCGUUCAAUUUGAGAAUGUGCUAUUAUCUUGUAAAUGGUCCAGAUCCCCACCCCUAAACCAUAUUUAUUCUUGUAGGGGACAAUAAAACAAAUGAAAUGAAAUAAAAGGGAAGUCCCGAGGGGGUCACCCCACCCCCUCUUGUUUGAAAACUUGUAAACGGUCAACAUCCCCACCCUUUAACCACAUAUAUUCUUGUAUGGGACAAUAAAACAAAUCAAAUGAAAUGUAGGUAAAGUCCCUGGGGAUCACCACCACCCCCUCCUGUUUGAAUACUUGUAAAUGGUGGAGAUCCCCACCCGUAAGCCAUAUAUAUUCUUGUAUUGGACAAAAAAUCAAAUCAAAUGAACAUGGGACCAUAUAAAUGGUGACUUAUGGGAGCUUUGUUUGGGAGACUUCGUAACAGCAUCCUGUUACAAUUACUUCUUGUUUAUUUUAU
rnacentral:lncRNA from 1 species